GUGUGUGUGUGUGUGUGUGUGUGUGUGUGAGAGAGAGAGAGUGUGAGAUUGAUAUGUUCACAUUUUCUCUUUCUUUCCUUACAGGAUUGAAGUCUGGUGUCGUACCUGUUCCAGGUGUGACAGCAGUGUGUAAUGAAGGCAGGGAAAAUGUGCUUUAACACGUCUCGCCACACACAAAGCAACACCCGGCUGAAGUGACAAAAGGACACCUAGAAGUGCAGGUUAUAUCAACAAUCAAACAUCACUUCUACAUAUUUGUACGGGAUCCGUCAUGGCGUCGGAGCUGCCGAAACAACAGGAGCGUAAGCAGCUGCGGCUGCAGUGAUUGUAAACGCGCCGGAGAAUGGGACGAGAGGAAGUGGAAUAAUUGCUCAGGCACAAUAAAGCAUAUGGCGCAGCAGA